AUCCUCCCAUUCUUUGCCACCACAGUCAGGCAUCCCAGCACUUACCCCCACCCCCUGGGGCUUCCUCCCCUGCCUCUUCCUGUACCAGGCAGGUGUAUGAGAGAGGAUCUACAGGAAGCCUUCCAGACUGGGACUGGCAGCCACCCUUUGCUGUGGAAGUGGACAACUUCAGGUUUACCCCCCGAAUCCAGAGGCUGAAUGAGCUAGAG
rnacentral:sRNA from 1 species